rnacentral:rRNA from 1 species
CCUGUUGCAUACUUUUCUGAAAAAAUGAGUGGGCCUACUCUGAACUAUUCUACUUAUGAUAAAGAAUUAUAUGCUCUUGUUCGGACUUUAGAAACAUGGCAACAUUAUUUAUGGCCCAAAGAAUUUGUUAUACAUUCUGAUCAUGAAUCUUUAAAACAUAUUAAAAGUCAAGCUAAACUGAAUCGUAGACAUGCUAAAUGGGUUGAAUUCAUUGAGACUUUCCCUUAUGUCAUUAAACACAAGAAGGGAAAAGAAAAUGUUAUUGCUGAUGCAUUGUCUCGUCGCUAUACUAUGCUUUCA